rnacentral:rRNA from 1 species
GAGUGGCGAACUGGUGAGUAACACGUGGGAAACCUGCCCAGAAGCGGGGGAUAACACCUGGAAACAGAUGCUAAUACCGCAUAACAACUUGGACCGCAUGGUCCGAGUUUGAAAGAUGGCUUCGGCUAUCACUUUUGGAUGGUCCCGCGGCGUAUUAGCUAGAUGGUGGGGUAACGGCUCACCAUGGCAAUGAUACGUAGCCGACCUGAGAGGGUAAUCGGCCACAUUGGGACUGAGACACGGCCCAAACUCCUACGGGAGGCAGCAGUAGGGAAUCUUCCACAAUGGACGAAAGUCUGAUGGAGCAACGCCGCGUGAGUGAAGAAGGGUUUCGGCUCGUAAAACUCUGUUGUUAAAGAAGAACAUAUCUGAGAGUAACUGUUCAGGUAUUGACGGUAUUUAACCAGAAAGCCACGGCUAACUACGUGCCAGCAGCCGCGGUAAUACGUAGGUGGCAAGCGUUGUCCGGAUUUAUUGGGCGUAAAGCGAGCGCAGGCGGUUUUUUAAGUCUGAUGUGAAAGCCUUCGGCUCAACCGAAGAAGUGCAUCGGAAACUGGGAAACUUGAGUGCAGAAGAGGACAGUGGAACUCCAUGUGUAGCGGUGAAAUGCGUAGAUAUAUGGAAGAACACCAGUGGCGAAGGCGGCUGUCUGGUCUGUAACUGACGCUGAGGCUCGAAAGUAUGGGUAGCAAACAGGAUUAGAUACCCUGGUAGUCCAUACCGUAAACGAUGAAUGCUAAGUGUUGGAGGGUUUCCGCCCUUCAGUGCUGCAGCUAACGCAUUAAGCAUUCCGCCUGGGGAGUACGGCCGCAAGGCUGAAACUCAAAGGAAUUGACGGGGGCCCGCACAAGCGGUGGAGCAUGUGGUUUAAUUCGAAGCUACGCGAAGAACCUUACCAGGUCUUGACAUACUAUGCAAAUCUAAGAGAUUAGACGUUCCCUUCGGGGACAUGGAUACAGGUGGUGCAUGGUGUCGUCAGCUCGUGUCGUGAGAUGUUGGGUUAAGUCCCGCAACGAGCGCAACCCUUAUUAUCAGUUGCCAGCAUUAAGUUGGGCACUCUGGUGAGACUGCCGGUGACAAACCGGAGGAAGGUGGGGAUGACGUCAAAUCAUCAUGCCCCUUAUGACCUGGGCUACACACGUGCUACAAUGGAUGGUACAACGAGUUGCGAACUCGCGAGAGUAAGCUAAUCUCUUAAAGCCAUUCUCAGUUCGGAUUGUAGGCUGCAACUCGCCUACAUGAAGUCGGAAUCGCUAGUAAUCGCGGAUCAGCAUGCCGCGGUGAAUACGUUCCCGGGCCUUGUACACACCGCCCGUCACACCAUGAGAGUUUGUAACACCCAAAGUCGGUGGGGUAACCUUUUAGGAACCAGCCGCCUAA